UGGGGAAUCUUGCGCAAUGGGCGAAAGCCUGACGCAGCGACGCCGCGUGCGGGAAGAAGGCCUUCGGGUUGUAAACCGCUUUCAGGAGGGACGAAGCCACUCGGGUUAAUAGCCCAGAGGGUGACGGUACCUCCAGAAGAAGCCCCGGCUAACUACGUGCCAGCAGCCGCGGUAAUACGUAGGGGGCAAGCGUUGUCCGGAUUCAUUGGGCGUAAAGCGCGUGUAGGCGGCCAGGUAGGUCCGGUGUGAAAACUCGAGGCUCAACCUCGAGAGGUCAUCGGAAACCAUCUGGCUAGAGUCCGGAAGAGGAGAGUGGAAUUCCCGGUGUAGCGGUGAAAUGCGCAGAUAUCGGGAAGAACACCCAUGGCGAAGGCAGCUCUCUGGGACGGUACUGACGCUGAGACGCGAAAGCGUGGGGAGCGAACAGG
rnacentral:rRNA from 1 species